UUCCUGGAGGGAGGAGUUAGUCCUCCAGAACUGUAUUUAAACUCUGGGAAUUCACCACAAACCUGUCGGCUAAAGCAGAGUGUCUUGCCUCCCUCAACAACAGGAAAGAAUAACAAGCCCUUGGCCAGGACCAUUGCUGGCCUUCUGGCCAGGAGAAGACCAAUGUAGGGGGUCCAGGCCCCAGCAUGGAGGUCUUCAGACUCCCUGUGAGGGAGAGAUGAAGGUCAGGCUGUGGCUGCAGGCUGCUCUCUGAUCUCCCUCUUUGGAUGUGAACUACUGACCUCUGCCCUGUGUUUGUCAGCAGGCUGGAAUCAUAAACAUCAAUGUAGUACUGUCAUGGUUAAUGUCAGUGCAACUGUGAUAGUGAAUAAAGAUGAAUAACAAGAACAA